AAGUAGAUAUCAGUUGUAUCCAGGCUGUGAGCGCUGGAUUGCUGUGAAAACAUCCUUAAGCUCUUAAGAAGUGUUGGGUAUAAAAUACCCCUAGCCGAAGUUCUUAAGAAGCCGACCCUCUCAGGACUCUUCCGACUUCGUGCGGCACCUUUUCGGACUUCUCCAGCAAUCGAACUCCUCUGACGGACGAACUCCCACAACGACUUCUACAAGUGCCAACCGAACUCCUCCGACGGAUGAACUCCUACCGCACCC
rnacentral:lncRNA from 1 species